rnacentral:rRNA from 1 species
UUUCCUCUUAAUAUUGUGCCAGCAGUUAGUGCUCUUUAACUCUUACAUGGUCGCACACUGAAGCUAAGCAGAGCUGUGCCUGGUCAGUACCUGGAUGGGAGACCACAUGGUGGUUGCUGCCGGAAGU